UUGCCCUAGUAACGGCGAGUGAAGCGGCAACAGCUCAAAUUUGAAAUCUGGCUCUUUCAGAGUCCGAGUUGUAAUUUGCAGAGGGCGCUUUGGCGUUGGCAGCGGUCCAAGUUCUUUGGAACAGGACGUCACAGAGGGUGAGAAUCCCGUACGUGGUCGCUAACCUUCGCCGUGUAAAGCCCCUUCGACGAGUCGAGUUGUUUGGGAAUGCAGCUCUAAAUGGGAGGUAAAUUUCUUCUAAAGCUAAAUACUGGCCAGAGACCGAUAGCGCACAAGUAGAGUGAUCGAAAGAUGAAAAGCACUUUGGAAAGAGAGUCAAAUAGCACGUGAAAUUGUUGAAAGGGAAGCGCUUGCAGCCAGACUUGCCUGUAGUUGCUUAUCCGGACUUUUGUCCGGUGCACUCUUCUGCAGGCAGGCCAGCAUCAGUUUGGGCGGUUGGAUAAAGGUCUCUGUCACGUACCUCCCUUCGGGGUUGGCCUUAUAGGGGAGACGUCAUGCAACCAGCCUGGACUGAGGUCCGCGCAUCUGCUAGGAUGCUGGCGUAAUGGCUGUAAGCGGCCCGUCUUGAAACACGGACCAAGGAGUCUAACAUCUAUGCGAGUGUUUGGGUGUCAAGCCCAGACGCGUAAUGAAAGUGAACGGAGGUGGGAACCUUUUAGGUGCACCAUCGACCGAUCCUGAUGUCUUCGGAUGGAUUUGAGUAAGAGCAUGGCUGUUGGGACCCGAAAGAUGGUGAACUAUGCUUGAAUAGGGUGAAGCCAGAGGAAACUCUGGUGGAGGCUCGCAGCGGUUCUGACGUGCAAAUCGAUCGUCAAAUUU
rnacentral:rRNA from 1 species